CCUACGGGUGGCAGCAGUGAGGAAUAUUGGUCAAUGGACGAGAGUCUGAACCAGCCAAGUAGCGUGAAGGAUGACUGCCCUAUGGGUUGUAAACUUCUUUUAUAAAGGAAUAAAACGAGGCACGUGUGCCUUUUUGCAUGUACUUUAUGAAUAAGGAUCGGCUAACUCCGUGCCAGCAGCCGCGGUAAUACGGAGGAUCCGAGCGUUAUCCGGAUUUAUUGGGUUUAAAGGGAGCGUAGAUGGGUUGUUAAGUCAUUUGUGAAAGUUUGCGGCUCAACCGUAAAAUUGCAAUUGAUACUGGCAGUCGUGAGUACAGUUGAGGUAGGCGGAAUUCGUGGUGUAGCGGUGAAAUGCUUAGAUAUCACGAAGAACCCCGAUUGCGAAGGCAGCUUACUAAACUGUGACUGACAUUGAUGCUCGAAAGUGUGGGUAUCAAACAGGAUUAGAUACCCGAGUAGUC
rnacentral:rRNA from 1 species